rnacentral:rRNA from 1 species
AUGUUGACGCCGAAGAGGCGGACGAGGGCAAUGUUGACGCCGAAGAGGCGGACGAAGCCACGAAUCCCAUUCCCUUGCUCCGGCGUAGCCAUGCCCGGAGCGGAGCUGCUGAUGUUAGCAGGAGGGGCACGGGAUGACGAGCCCGGAGCGGAGCUGCUGAUGUUAGCAGAUGAGGCGGAACUGCUGAGGUUAGCAGGAGGGGCGGAGCUGCUGAUGUUACGAGGAAGGGCGCGGGAUGAGGAGCCCGGAGCAGAGCUGAUGAUUUUAGCAGGAGGGGCACGGGAUGAGGAGCCCAGAGCGGAGCUGGUGAUUUUAACAGGAGGGGCACGGAAUGAGGAGCCCUGA